rnacentral:rRNA from 1 species
AGAGUUUGAUUCUGGCUCAGAACGAACGCUGGCGGCGUGGAUAAGACAUGCAAGUCGAACGACGACAUCAAAGUAGCAAUACGAUGGUGUUGGAGUGGCGAAAGGGUGAUUAACACGUGGGCAAGUUUCCGCGAAACCCGGGAUAACCUGCUGAAAGGCAAGCUAAUACCGGAUUACACUCUGGGUCGGCAUCGAUCCAGGUUUAAAGUUGGGGACCGCAAGGCCUGACGAUUCGCGAUACGCCCGCGCCCUAUCAGCUAGUUGGCGGGGUAAUGGCCCACCAAGGCUUAGACGGGUAGCUGGUCUGAGAGGACGACCAGCCACACUGGAACUGAGACACGGUCCAGACACCUACGGGUGGCAGCAGUCGAGAAUUUUUCACAAUGGGCGAAAGCCUGAUGGAGCGACGCCGCGUGGGGGAUGAAUGGCUUCGGCCCGUAAACCCCUGUCAUUUGCGAAUAAUCUCUGGGAUUUAACAGAUCCCAGAUUGAAAGUAGCAGAAGAGGAAGGGACGGUUAACUCUGUGCCAGCAGCCGCGGUAAUACAGAGGUCCCAAGCGUUGUUCGGAUUUACUGGGCGUAAAGGGUGCGUAGGUGGUAGGGUAAGUUCAAGGUGAAAGCUUCGGGCUCAACCCGAAAAUUGCCUCGAAAACUAUCCUGCUAGAGGGUCAGAGGGGAGACUGGAAUUCUCGGUGUAGCAGUGAAAUGCGUAGAUAUCGAGAGGAACACCUGUGGCGAAGGCGAGUCUCUGGAUGAUUCCUGACACUGAGGCACGAAAGCUAGGGGAGCAAACGGGAUUAGAUACCCCGGUAGUCCUAGCUGUAAACGGUGCGCACUUGCUGUAAGUGGCGUCAAAACCACUUGUGGCGAAGCUAACGCGUUAAGUGCGCCGCCUGGGGAGUACGGUCGCAAGACUAAAACUCAAAGAAAUUGACGGGGGCCUGCACAAGCGGUGGAGUAUGUGGCUUAAUUCGAUGCAACGCGAAGAACCUUACCUAGCCUUGACAUGUAAGUAGUAGAAGCCUGAAAGGGUGACGAGAUAGCAAUAUCAGCUUACACAGGUGCUGCAUGGCUGUCGUCAGCUCGUGUCGUGAGAUGUUGGGUUAAGUCCCGCAACGAGCGCAACCCUUGCAUUUUGUUGCCACCUUCGCGCAAGCGAAGAGCACUCGAAAUGGACUGCCUCGCUUAAACGAGGAGGAAGGUGGGGAUGACGUCAAGUCAGUAUGGCCCUUACGGCUAGGGCUGCACACGUACUACAAUGCCUAGCACAAUGGGAUGCGACUCAGUAAUGGGAAGCCAAUCCUAAAAAGUAGGCCCAGUUCAGAUUGUCGUCUGCAACUCGACGACAUGAAGCUGGAAUCGCUAGUAAUGGCGCAUCAGCUACGGCGCCGUGAAUACGUUCCCAGGCCUUGUACACACCGCCCGUCACAUCAUGAAAGCCGUCUGCACCCAAAGUCGUUAGAUUAACCGCAAGGAAAUCUGCGCCUAAGGUAUGGGUGGUAAUUGGGAUGAAGUCGUAACAAGGUA